GGCUGUAGCUCAGUGCUAGAGCACUUGCCUAGCAUGAACAAGGCCCUGGGUUCCAUCCCCAGCACCA
rnacentral:tRNA from 1 species